UGUAUAGAAAGUAAGUAGGUACGUCAUAUUUUUCUUAGGUUCCGUUAUUACUAUUUUACACAAUACUUUGAGAAUAGUAACUGAGUAUUAUUUAUUUAUUUUUAACAGAGUUGUAAAGUUGCCUUUUUAAACUGUACUUUCUCAAUUAUUUAUUUAAUACUAGCUGACCCGGCGAACUUUGUUCCGUCUUAAUGGCAAUAAAUAAGCAGACUUUUUUUUAUUUUGAACGGGAUAAAAAGUAUCCUAUGUCCUUCUCCUGGCUCUAAACUACCUCCCUGACAAUUUUCAGCUAAAUCGGUUCAGCCGUUCUUGAGUUAUGUGGAGUAACUAACACGACUUUCUUUUAGUAUACAGGGUGGAAACGAUAAGUGAUCUCACCCGAUUAUUUCUAAACUAUACAAGAUAUCGAAAAACUGGUUACUGAUCUUGAAAGUGCUUCACGAGCUCUUUCAAACGGUGCUAAUAAUAGGUUUCAGAAUAAACUGGAACUAUCUGAAAAUUUAAUGUUUCCAGCUUCCAUACAUUUGGUAAAGUUACAUAAUUUUAAAAACUACACAAGAUAUCGUAAAACUGGUAACUGAUCCUAAAAGUGCUUCACGAGCUCUAUCCAACGGUAUCAAUAUCAAGUUACAGAAUAAACUGGAUCUAUUCUAAAAUUAAAUGUUUCCGUCUUCCAUACAUUUAGUACUAUCACAGUCAUGGCACUCAUCUCUUGAUAAUUUUAUAGCAAGUAAAGCCUAAAACUAAUGCUUUUCACAAAUAAUUUUAAAUAAGAUACAAGUUACGAGUUUAUUUAACCGCCUUUUUAAGUUUAUUAUUUAAGAAAAAAAUAAAUUACACUUUUAAUUUGUGUCGUCGGCAUACAUUUAGUAUGGAAGCUGGAAACAUUGAAUUUUGGGAUAGUUCCAGUUUAUUCUGUAACCUAUUAUUGGUACCGUUUGAAAGAGCUUGUGAAGCACUUUCAGGAUCAGUAACCAGUUUUUCGAUAUCUAUAUAUAUAAAAAUGAAACCCGUUUUCCGUUGUCACGACAUAACAUGAAAACGGGUUGACCGAUUUGGCUGAUUUUUUUUUGUAGUUUUCUAAUACUCUGUACAAGGUUUUUACGGAAAAAAAUAUAAAGAAAAUCUCUACGCUAAGGCGGUACGAAGUUCGCCGGGUCAGCUAGUCUUGUAUAGUUUAGAAAUAAUCGAGUGACAUCACUUAUCGUUUCCACCCUGUAUAGAUAGAUUGACUUAAGUAUGUUAUUCUAAUGAUGGUAGUUCAUUCAUGAACAUGAUUUUGAAAUUACUUACAAUUUGAGACAAUAUUAUAGUUAUUAAUAGGUAUUUUAACUAAGUUCUUUACUAAACAAAAAAUACACCGAAACUAAUAAAAUGUUUUGUUUGUAUUAAACACGAACUAUUUAUUACUAAUGAAGUCUUGAUUACUAUCAAUACUAAUUUACGACAAAAAGUAUAUUUUCCAUUUUUUUUUGUAAUUCAUUCUACCACUAUAAUUUGUUUUUUUUUUAUUGUAAGAGAAAAAAUAUUUUUGUUUUAUAAUUGUUAUUGUGUUUAAAUUGUGUCCCUGUCUGCAUGAUACAAAUAACAUUUAAGUAACAUAACGCCUUAAUAAAGUUUACUAAACUAAAA